rnacentral:ncRNA from 1 species
UCCGUAGACACGGGGUGCUCCGCACAUGCGCGGGGCUGAGAUCACACCCGUCGAACCUGAUCAGGUAAUGCUGACGAAGGGAUGUCCUG